GUCUCAGUUCGGAUUGUAGUCUGCAACUCGACUACAUGAAGCUGGAAUCGCUAGUAAUCGCGGAUCAGAAUGCCGCGGUGAAUACGUUCCCGGGCCUUGUACACACCGCCCGUCACACCAUGAGAGCCGGGAACACCCGAAGUCCGUAGUCUAACCAUUAAGGAGGACGCGGCCGAAGGUGGGUUUGGUAAUUGGGGUGAAGUCGUAACAAGGUAAC
rnacentral:rRNA from 1 species